rnacentral:rRNA from 1 species
GACGUAGGAUCCGAGCGUUGUCCGGAGUUACUGGGCGUAAAGCGCGCGCAGGCGGACCGAUACAUCGGCGGUGAAAGCCCCCCGCUCAACGGGGGAGGGUCCGUCGAGAUGGUCGGUCUGGAGGCAGGGAGAGGCCAGUGGAAUUCCGGGUGUAGUGGUGAAAUGCGUAGAGAUCCGGAGGAACACCAGUGGCGAAGGCGGCGACCAUGGGCCAAUA